GUGAGGAACCGUGCGGAAAUACUAUUCUUGUUAACUUCCUCGGACUUGCUCUCCUCUGUCAACUUAAACCACAUAAACUCUAAUUAAUUUAAAACGAAAGUAAUUGAUGUAACGCAUCACAUACUAAGUCUCGACAACGGAACUCUUGGCUCUCGCAGCGAUAAAUAAUGCAACGUGAUGAGAUCAGUAAUGUGUAUUGCAUAAUUCCGUGAAUCAUCCCAUCUUUGAACGCACCUUGCGCGCCUUGGUAUUCCUUGAAUCAUGCCUGUUUGACUAUCAUGAAAUCUUCAAAGUAAAACUUUUGUUAAUUCAAUGUGGUUUCUACUUUGGUAUUGUAGGUCUUUGCCCUCUCUCACCUGCUCCUCUUUGUGCAUUAUCUGGAUCUCAGUGUUAUGCUUGGUUCCACUCGUCGUGAUAAGUUAUCUAUCGAUGAGGACACUGCGAAAGGUGGCGCAGGUAAAUCCAAAUGAACCGCUUCUAACAGUCCAUUGACUUGGACAAAUAAAUUUUUAUGAUCUGAUCUCAAAUCAAGUAGGACUACCG
rnacentral:rRNA from 1 species